UGCCAAAAGUUGCCCUGUCUGGACCGCAUCCAUUCCUCAUCAUCUUCUUGUACCAAACCUUAGCCUCUUCAAGAUUCCCAACAUCAACAAACCCUUUCAUCAGAGCAUUGAAACUAUAAUUAUCAGGUUUCACCCCCUUUUUCCCCAUUUCCUCGAUCAACUCGGCCGCGUCUGAAACUCGAUUAUCAGCAACCAAACCCCGCAAUCUUGAGUUAUAAGUCCUAACGUUAGCCAACACAUUUUUCUUCUCCAUCAAACACCACAACUUUUCUGCCUCUUCAAUCCUGUUGUUCUUAUAAAAUGCAUCUAAAAGAGUGUUGAAAGUGACUACAUCAGGCUGAAUAUUACUGCUCUCCAUCUCAUUCAUCACAACACUGGCAGAAUCUACAGAACCGACGUCACACAAGGCUUUAACAACCGUAUUAUA
rnacentral:lncRNA from 1 species